GGACCCGCACAAGCAGCGGAGCAUGUGGUUUAAUUCGAAGCAACGCGAAAAACCUUACCAAGACUUGACAUCGUAUGAUCAUCAUAGAAAUAUGGUUUCUCUUCGGAGCAUAUAGACAGAUGGUGCAUGGUUGUCGUCAGCUCGUGUCGUGAGAUGUUGGGUUAAGUCCCAAAACGAGCGCAACCCUUAUCGGUAGUUGCCAAUAUUUAGUUAGGAACUCUGCCGAGACCGCCGCUGUAAGGUGGAGGAAGGAAGGGAUGACGUCAAAUCAUCAUGCCUCUUACGUCUUGGGCUACACACGUGCUACAAUGGCCAUUACAAAGAGCAGCAACAUGGUAACAUCGAGCAAAUCUCACAAAAAUGGCCUCAGUUCAGAUUGUGGGCUGCAACCCGCCCACAUGAAGUAGGAGUUGCUAGUAAUCCCGAAUCAGCAUGUCGGGGUGAAUGCGUUCCCGGGUCUU
rnacentral:rRNA from 1 species